CGUCCUAUAUUGUCCCAUAAUAAAAAGGAUUUUGGUUAUUCAUUUGUAUAGCUAUAUUGUCCCAUAAUAUAAAGGAUUUUGGUUAUUCAUUUGUAUAGCUAACAUUUGUUAUAAUUAAUGUUUCAGAAGGAUUAAAUUCUAGAUAGCACAAUCUAGAUUUGAACAUCAUGUUUUGAGAUUUGAUCACACUAUAAAUCUAGAAAAACCCCGAAGUCGCCACGAGCGUCUCGUUGUCGACGGGCACCACUGAAAGCACAAAGCCAUUAGAAUCCUGAAAAAUUCGCUCCAACGAGGAGUCGAACCCAGUACCUCAGGUGCUACUAAGACCUUAUGUAACCACUAGGCUACAGGCCCGUUCACAA
rnacentral:lncRNA from 1 species